rnacentral:rRNA from 1 species
UGGGGAAUAUUGCACAAUGGGCGCAAGCCUGAUGCAGCCAUGCCGCGUGUAUGAAGAAGGCCUUCGGGUUGUAAAGUACUUUCAGUCGGGAGGAAGGUGUCAAGGUUAAUAACCUUGGCAAUUGACGUUACCGACAGAAGAAGCACCGGCUAACUCCGUGCCAGCAGCCGCGGUAAUACGGAGGGUGCAAGCGUUAUUCGGAAUUACUGGGCGUAAAGCGCACGCAGGCGGUUGAUUGAGUCAGAUGUGAAAUCCCCGGGCUUAACCCGGGGGUUGCAUCUGCUACUGGUCAGGUAGAGUCGUGUAGAGGGGGGUAGAAUUCCAUGUGUAGCGGUGAAAUGCGUAGAGAUGUGGAGGAAUACCGGUGGCGAAGGCGCCCCCCUGGACAAAGACUGACGCUCAGGUGCGAAAGCGUGGGGAGCAAACAGG